GCAUGAAAACAUGCAGAUGUGAUGAUGUGUUCUUAGCAGUGAGGUUUUAGUCAGGGGGAAUGUGGGAGUACGAAAAUCUGGAUGAGCCUGGACUCUGCCCCUCUCAGCAAAUCCCUCUCUGCCCCCAGGUACAGCUGCCAGCAUGAGCUCCCAGGACAUCUGCAGCCCCCCAGGGUAUCUCCAAGCUCCUGCUCUCCAAAUGAACUCAACUUCUGCUCAGCCAGGUACAAGAGUUUUUCUCCAGUGUAUUCUCCCUGUGGUGUCACCUGUAAGAAAAAUCAUUUUCUGCAAGGAUGGGAAGGAGGUGUACAGUCUGAAAGCCCAGCAAGGGCAGCUGAACUACUCCGUGGUCAUGAACAUCACAUCAAGAAGCGCAGGAAGAUAUACAUGUGGGUACAAGGAGUGGAAUGAGAUGAAACACAUGAGGAGCUCUGCCCUCAGUGCUGGCCGCAUCCUGGAUAUCCCUGGUGAGACACGUCCCCGGGCUGGAGGGGUGAGAAGGGACGGAGGCAUUUGCCACCACAUGGCUGUGCUGAGGCUGGAGCUGUGUGCUGCAGCAGGCUCUGGGGUGGUUCCCUCAUGGGAGUGUUCCCUCUCCUCCAAGGCAGCCCCUAGACAGAGAGAGCUGGUCUCAGUGGAUUGCCGUGUCCCUGAAGCACUACCUCUGCUGCAGAGUUGGGGCUCUGCAGAGCCCAUUCACAGAGAGCAAGGGAUGGGGAUGUGGAUGAAUGUUGGGUUGAGCCAGGGAUGCUCCAAGGUCUGCCCUGUGCAUUGAUGAGCCUAUGGCAGGGCAAGUGGGAUGACUGUCAUGAGCUGGGCAAGGACACAGCAGGGAGGACAUGGCAAGGACCAAGCAGCUGGGACAUGGGCACAAGCGUGUGGGUGCCCCAGCUCUCACUCCCUCUAAACAAAACCCUCUGUGCCCCAAGGUGCAGGUGCUGGCAUGACCACCCAGGACAUCUGCAGCUCCCCAGGUGAGGCUGAGCGUGGGGAUGGGUGACUGAAGAGAGGUGUGUGUGGGGUGGUGAUGGCAAGGGAGAGGGAAUUUGUUCUCUGGGCGAGAGCUCCUGGGAAGGAAUCAUUUCUCCGCAUGGAACACAAAGCAUUUUUGUGCAAUUCUGGGGUCUCCAGUAUAAGAGGGGCAUAGAACUACUGGAGAGAGCCUUGAGGAGGGCUGUAAAGAUGAUCAGAGGACCGGAGCCAAGAGCGCUGAGCCUUUUUAGCCUGGAAAAGAGGAGACUGAAGGGAGACCUCAUCCAUGUCUAUAAAUAUCUGAGGGGAGGGAGUUGAGAGAAUGGUGCUGGUCUCUUUUCAGUUGUGCCCAGGGAAAGGGUGAGAGGCAACAGGCCCAAAUGGGAGCACAGAAAGUUCCAUCUGAAUAUGAGGGGCAUUUCUUUACUGGGAGGGUGACAGAGCACUGAAACAGGCUGCCCAGAGAUGCUGUGGAGUCUCCUCUGCAGAUAUUUCAAAUCCACCUGGAUGCCACUCUGUGCAGUCUGUCCUAGCUGAUCCUGCUCAGCAGAAGGCUGGACUCCAUGACUUUCAGAGGUCCCUUCCAACCUUGGCCAUUCUGUGAUUGUGUGAUCCUCUAGCCCCCAGAAUCACAGACAGAUGAGAGUGGUGGUGCCAUAUUUAAUGGGCAGGCACACCUUGGCCAAGCUAUUCUUAACCACUCACGAGGGAAUUUAGACAGCUGAUCCAUGGGGGCCCAUGUUGCCACAAAAGCCACAGGCACUUUU
rnacentral:lncRNA from 1 species